rnacentral:rRNA from 1 species
UACAGAGGUCUCAAGCGUUGUUCGGAUUCAUUGGGCGUAAAGGGUUCGUAGGUGGCGCUGUAAGUCGGGUGUGAAAUUUCGGAGCUUAACUCCGAAACUGCAUUCGAUACUGCGGUGCUUGAGGACUGGAGAGGAGACUGGAAUUCAUGGUGUAGCAGUGAAAUGCGUAGAGAUCAUGAGGAAGACCAGUGGCGAAGGCGGGUCUCUGGACAGUUCCUGACACUGAGGCACGAAGGCCAGGGGAGCAAACGGG